rnacentral:lncRNA from 1 species
AUUUGAUUUCGGUUCCCGUAUUUAUAAUGGGAGGGGAGGAGUUAGUUAAGAAUUCAAAAUUCGAAAUUCGAAUUUUGAAUUAUUUGUUGGAUGGUUGGAGGAUAUUUGGGGAGUGGUUGGGAAUUCAAAAUUCGAAUUCGAAAUCGAAUGAGUUGUUGGAUAGUUGGAAGAUAUUUUGGGAGUUGGUUAGGGAAUUCGAAAUUCGAAAUCGAAUUUUGAAUGUGUUGUUGGAUGAUAUUUUGGGAAUUGGUUAGGUAAUUCAAAAUUCGAAAUCGAAUUUUGAAUGGGUUGUUUGAUGAUAUUUUGGGAAUUGGUUAGGGAAUUCAAAAUUCGAAAUCGAAUUUUGAAUGGAUGAUGUUUUGGGAAUUGGUUAGGGAAUUCAAAAUUCAAAAUCGAAUUUUGAAUGGGUUGUUGGAUGAUAUUUUGGGAAUUGGUUAGGGAAUUCAAAAUUCGAAAUCGAAUUUUGAAUGGGUUAUUGGAUGAUGUUUUGGGAAUUGAUUAGGGAAUUCAAAAUUCGAAAUCGAAUUUUGAAUGGGUUGUUGGAUGAUAUUUUGGGAAUUGGUUAGGGAAUUCAAAAUUCGAAAUCGAAUUUUGAAUGGGUUGUUGGAUGAUGUUUUGGGAAUUGGUUAGGUAAUUCAAAAUUCGAAAUCGAAUGGGUUGUUGGAUGAUAUUUUGGGAAUUGGUUAGUGAAUUCAAAAUUCGAAAUCGAAUUUUGAAUAAGUUGUUGGAGGAUGUUUUGGGAAUUGGUUAGGGAAUUCGAAAUUCGAAUUCGAAUUUCAAAUGGGUUAUGAGAUGGUUAGGUAUUCAAAAUUCGAAAUCGAAUUUUGAAUCGGUUAUUGGAUGAUGUUUUGGGAAUUGGUUGGGAGUUCGAAAUUCGAAAUCGAAUUUUGAAUAGGUUGUGAUUUGAAAUCGAAUUUCGAACAGAUAUUUUAUAUAAUGUGGAUGUGGGCCGUCGUUGAUCAGGCCCGCUUUAAUUUAUUGGGCCCAAANUUUUAUAUAAUGUGGAUGUGGGCCGUCGUUGAUCAGGCCCGCUUUAAUUUAUUGGGCCCAAAUGAUAAUAUUUAAUGGGCUGGAAUAAGGCCCCCCCCCCCGGUUUUCUUUUAUUUGUUUGGGCUUUUAUGAGGCCCACCAACUCACAUUUAUGAAUGGGCCUAUUGUGGAUUUUAAAUUGUAAUUAUUGGCCCCAAAAUUUUCUAGUCAACAUGAGACCUAUCAAAAUUGUUUGAGUCUGAAUCUAAUCAGUUUCGAUUAUGAUUAGAAAAAAAAAAAAAAUUUUCACUUCAAACAAUAUUAUUGUAUAACUUGCAUUUAUUUUGUAUAUUCUGUUUUGAUUAUUUGGUAUUGAUUAUAUUAUUGAGAUUCUAUUGGUUGUGAUGUUAUAAUGUGUAUUAAUUUUGUGAUGUUGUGAUGUGUAUUACUUUUGUGAUGUUGUGAUGUGUAUUGAUAGGUAUCUUUAUUGUAUUCUUGUAUUGAAUCUUGUAAUUCACUUUUCUUCAACAUGUAUCUGUAUCGUAUUCUUGCAUUGAAUCUUGUAAUUGAUUUUUCUGCGGCAAAGUACUAGUGGGCUGGUAGUCGUAUUGGACACGGUGAUCCAUUCACCGUGUCCAAUACAAAUGUAAUGGACACGGUGAUCCAUUCACCGUGUCCAAUACAAAUGUAAUGGACACGGUGAUCCAUUCACCGUGUCCAAUAAAAAUCUAUUGGACACGGUGAUCCAUUCACCGUGUCCAAUAC